UCGAACGUUUAAUUUAAUUACUAAUUUUAUUAAAAGUGGUGAACAGGUGAGUAGUAAUUAAUAACCUACCUUAAGGCAGGGGGUAAAUCCCCUCUAUAUAAAAAGGUAAUUUCCGUCUUAAGAAGAAUCGUUAAUUAAAAGAAAUAGGUAGUUGUUAAGGUAAUUACUUAACAAGCCAAGUAUUUUCUUAGUCGAAACUGAAAGGUUGAUCGAUCACAUUGGGAAUGAGAAAAGCCCAAGACAAGUGAGUACAGCAGUGGGGAAUAUUAGUCAAUGGCCUAACGGCUGAACUGGCAACUUGGAGGAAUGGCCUAAAUUAGAGUGAAAUUGGUUAAAUUUUUCUUGUAAAAAUAAAAUUCUGAUUAUAUGUAAUAUAAUGACUAUGUAUUUUUAUGUCUUGACUAAUUACGUGCCAGCAGUCGCGGUAAUACGUAAGAGACUAGUGUUAUUCAUCUUUAAUAGGUUUAAAGGGUACUCAAACGGAAGAAAUUAACUAUAUAAGGUACUAUUUCUAUCUAGAGUUAUAUAAAAAAAAGGUCGAACAUACGGAGUAGGAUUAAAAACCGUAUAUACCUAUAUGGACGGGUAAGGCGAAGGCAACCUUUUAUAAAAUAACUGACGUUGAAGGACGAAGGCUAAGGAAGCGAAAAGGAUUAGAUACCCUUGUAGUCUUAGCAGAAAAUUAUGAAUGCUACUUAUUAAUAUUAUUUAAUUCGUAAAUGAAAAUUUAAGCAUUUCACCUCACGAGUAAUGUGGCAACGCAGGAACUGAAAUCACUAGGCCGUUUUAGACACCAGUAGUGAAGUAUGGAUGAUCCGCGAAAAACCUUACCACAAUUUGAAUUAUUUGUAUAUUCUGUUUUACACAAAUAUAAAUAACGAGUGUUGCACGGCUGUCUUCAGUUGAUGUUGCGAAACUAUGGCUUAAGCCAUGAAAUUGACCAAAACCUUUACUUUAUUUAUUAAUAUAUAUUUUAUAAAGUAUUCCAUCUUGAUAAUAGAUGUUACGUUAGGGACCAAGAUAAGUCAUCAUGACCUUUAUGUUGUGGGCUAUAGACGUGCCACAUUUUCCUAGACAAAAAGAUGCAAAAAUGUAAAUUUAAGCUAAUCUAAAAAAUAGGGUAAAAAAGGAUAUGGAUUAUAGUCUGAAAUUCGACUAUAUGAAUAAGUAAUUACUAGUAAUCGUGAAUCACCAUCGUCACGGUGAAUUUUUAAUCUGAUUGGUACUAACUACUCGUCGCAUGCUGAAAAGAGUACUUACAAAAAGUUUGCUUAUUUAUUAUAAAUAAGUAAAUAAUAGGUUUUAGAUUUUAUAAUAAAU
rnacentral:rRNA from 1 species